rfam:Camelus ferus unplaced genomic scaffold scaffold2763, whole genome shotgun sequence.
GAGGGUGUAGCUCAGCAGUAGAGCACCUGGCUAUCAUGCAGGAGGUCCUGGGUUCAAUCCCCAGUACCUCCA